rnacentral:rRNA from 1 species
AACGAACGCUGGCGGCGUGGAUAAGACAUGCAAGUCGAACGGGAUUCUUUAGUGCAGCAAUGUAUUGAAGGGUUCAGUGGCGCAAGGGUGCGUAACACGUGGGCAAUCUGCCGAAAAGUGGGGGAGUAGCUCGCCGAAAGGACGAAUUAAUACCGCAUGCGGUUAGCAGGGGAAGUCCCCGCCGAUACCAAAGUACGGUUGCAGCAAUGCAGCUGACGC